rnacentral:lncRNA from 1 species
AGUCCGCUAUUCUGCAGUGAUUUUCUUCCAAUCCAGUAUCAUUUGUACGUUGCAGCAUCAUCGAACACGGCCGAUGAAACAGAAGAUAACGUGCAUGUAGAUGUUACGAGAGAGCUCAUUUCACAAUGGACAACAGAAGUGUUACGUGACUUUCUACAAGGAGGGGACUCAAGCUUGGAAAUCGAGUACCGGUAGUCAUUAUUUUAUGGGUGUUCUCUGCCUUGACGCGGUAGCUGUUCAGCCAUCCGAGGUAGACACUGUGAGGAACUGGACAAUGGAUGGAUUGGGGGGGGGGGGGGGGGGGGGGGGGGUGGGGGUAAGCAUGCAGAACUGGCCUACUAUGUUUGUAUGUACCUACUGGAUAAGGACCCUCCAUCACUAGAGGGAAAAAUAAUGAGAGACUACAAAGAGGGGAAGGCAUAUAGUUAUUUUGCCUUGUGAAAAAAUUAGAUUUAGCCCCUAAAAAAGUGUUCCUUCGGGUAUCAAAUGACGACAGGUGAAACCUCACAGUUGUAGAAUUAUUAUCUGUAAUGUGAUUCCAAACCAUGUGACAGCAAAUGGUGUAUGGUGUAUGUUGUAAAGGUAUUGUAAAAUGCAUUGUUUAACAAUGUAUAACAAUGUUUAAACCGAGAUGGACGUAUGGCCCUACGUGCUACCAGUGUCUGUGAUA